rnacentral:rRNA from 1 species
GAUGAACGCUGGCGGCGUGCCUAAUACAUGCAAGUCGAGCGAACGGACGAGAAGCUUGCUUCUCUGAUGUUAGCGGCGGACGGGUGAGUAACACGUGGAUAACCUACCUAUAAGACUGGGAUAACUUCGGGAAACCGUAGCUAAUACCGGAUAAUAUUUUGAACCGCAUGGUUCAAAAGUGAAAGACGGUCUUGCUGUCACUUAUAGAUGGAUCCGCGCUGCAUUAGCUAGUUGGUAAGGUAACGGCUUACCAAGGCAACGAUGCAUAGCCGACCUGAGAGGGUGAUCGGCCACACUGGAACUGAGACACGGUCCAGACUCCUACGGGAGGCAGCAGUAGGGAAUCUUCCGCAAUGGGCGAAAGCCUGACGGAGCAACGCCGCGUGAGUGAUGAAGGUCUUCGGAUCGUAAAACUCUGUUAUUAGGGAAGAACAUAUGUGUAAGUAACUGUGCACAUCUUGACGGUACCUAAUCGGAAAGCCACGGCUAACUACGUG